rnacentral:rRNA from 1 species
UCUUGGGUUGUAAACCCCUUUUCUCUGGGAAGAACACAAUGACGGUACCAGAGGAAUCAGCAUCGGCUAACUCCGUGCCAGCAGCCGCGGUAAGACGGAGGAUGCAAGCGUUAUCCGGAAUGAUUGGGCGUAAAGCGUCCGCAGGUGGCAGUUCAAGUCUGCUGUCAAAGACCGGGGCUUAACCUCGGAAAGGCAGUGGAAACUGAACAGCUAGAGUAUGGUAGGGGCAAAGGGAAUUCCUGGUGUAGCGGUGAAAUGCGUAGAGAUCAGGAAGAACAUCGGUGGCGAAGGCGCUUUGCUGGACCAUAACUGACACUCAGGGACGAAAGCUAGGGGAGCG